ACAGAAAGCUCCAUUCAACUUUACCGUAUGCACAUGAAAUUGUAGCACUCUUGUAUUCAUUGGAUUUACAUUAUUGAACGCAUUCACUGCCAUUGGCAGCUAGAGACGUCAAAUAUCAAUUUGAACUGCGAGUGCUGGAAGUGAAUUUGAUCUAUAGAAUGCUGAGCACAAAGUUCACUGGUGCGAAGGCUGUGAGAAUUGCCUGAAUCGUGGCAUAUUUGGAUUGUUUUCUCACAUUAUGUUGCUCAUUCCUGAACAUGAAGUGAAUAACUUGGGUAACAGAGAUAUUAACAGUUCUUUAGAGUAGUCCCACUUUCAGAUCUCCCAAGCAAUUCUUUGAAUGAAACCACAACUAAUGUGAUCAUGUUUUCAAAAGAAUGAGAAAAUCUACUGUAAUUAUAAGUAACUGUUCGAUGAAUUAACAUUCACGUUAGCUUGUCUCCUCGUUCUCAGGAAAGAAUCAACUAGGAUCUCAGAUGACUCGUAUAAUGGGGCAUUUAAGUGCCUUUCCAGUUAUUUGUGGACAGUGGGUUUGAUCUGUGUGAGCAAUAUGAACAUGCUUGCAUGGGUGCAGCUCGUGCUAAUAACAUAAUGACAACACAGCCUUGAAGACGGAAUUGAUCUCCAAGCCCUCGGGCGUUCUUCCCUUGAAUGACGAUAUGCGUGAAACAUUCCUUACAUGUACAGUAUGACGUUGUGCAUUUUGUGGGGUUGAGUGAUUGACAUGAUCUCAUCAAUCGGCAAGGGGAUUCGUUCUGUUAAUUGUCAAAGCUGUUUUUCCCCUCAUUUGUUUGUGUUCGUGACAGCAGGAGAAAUUGUCUUCCUAACAAGUUUGACUGUCUGCCCCUUGACAGGCAAAUGAGGAAGUUUUCUUGUUGCCCUAGGGGAUUGUCCACAUGAUCAUUGUGUACAAAUCACCUGUGCAACAUCAUUGGCUACAAGCUCGUGGGGUUCUGGGUCGGGUCACUAUGGAAACUGUGCACAACUUACAACUCGAAGAACUUGAAGAACACUCAUUUAAACUCCCCAAAAACUCAUUGUGAAGCCUGUGCUAUCGAGAUAUUUGACCGCUGAAUACUAUGCACUCAUGCACAACUGAGGUGAGGGGCACAGUAGAAAGAAUGUCUUUGGUCUGCCGCCAUCAUCAUGCGCUGGAGGCAUGCUUGUGUGAACAAAUGCUGUCACACUUUAAGUGAAUCAUGAGAGAUUUGAGCACGGGGCUACACAGAAAUGUAAGCAUGCUGUUACUUGAGAAUAAUAGGACUCCAAAUACAAGUGAAAAGAAGUCCUCCCAACAAUUGCUUGAGUAAGAAAAGAACUGGUUUAACCGGUAACUUCUGAAUUAUUUAUUUAAUCGGCCCAUGAACAGCAAAUAAAAGAAAAAGAACUAAAUCAAAUAUGAAUGUGCAAAUUCAGAUAUUGCUGAGCAAUGUCACUUCAUCAAAAGCAUCAGACAAAUCUUUAUUAAACAACAAACGAUAAAUAAAAUCUUUAGGAAAUAACAACUUACAGCAAAUUCAGCUCCAAGAAAUCGUCCUGUACUAUUUUGUUUAACGAACUAAAAGGCUCCGUGGAACAAACCUACAGGGCAAUCGAAAAAGUCAACACAUCCCCUGAUUACAUGUCAGGAUGUAAAAAAUGAAACAUUAGACCAAGAGAAAUCAUUUUAAAACCUUUUCCAGCAUUUAAUGUGACCUAAAAACUGUACAACUCAAUUGAAUUUUCUUUGUAAUCUCUUCUAUCAUGUAAAAUAAGCUGGUUGCACAAGAGUGCAAAAGUAACUCAUCACAUUCCAACUCAUGUUAGAUGGGAGUCCACACACACCUGCCACCAUUCCAAGGGUCAAAAAACCAACACCACAUGCGAAUAGGGCCUUACAGAAACAUUAUUUACUGCAACUUACUGUAAGGCGUUUUCUCAAGUUAGAAGUGGGCAGAAUUGUCCACGUUUGGGCAGCCACAAACAACAAAGCUGUUGUUUUCGGCGAUACCUCCAUUUAGUUUUUCAAUAUGUGUCACUUUGGCAGGUCCGUGAAGAGUUUGUGCGGCCAUGUGAGUUGCUCAUGCCGUUUAUUGGUGAACUGGAGAAACACAUCGCCCAAUGAAGAAGCCUUGCCGACAAAACAAAAACAAAUAGAUCGCGCAAGCAGUCUAAGGAUCUGAAACUGGCCAAUGUUCACAAUAUUUCUGUGUUGUGUGUUGGUCACAAAGUUAAGAAAGAGGCUGAUGUUGCUCCCACUUUGUCCUCUAACAAAGUUAGGUGACAUCUCAGCUUCACCAUGUUCGAAGCGGCCUUUGUGCCGUUGUGUUUGGAUUGCACAAAGUGGUUUACAAUCAGUUAGUGGCACUUGGCUAAAAAGAAUCUCAAGCUGGCUGUCGCACUGUUGUCGUAAAGGAAAGGUCAAUGGAGGGGUCUAGACUCAGAGCCAUAACUUCUGUGGAAAUGUCUAGUGGUGGGAAAAAAGAAGUGACAAGAGAGUACAAUGGGGUACUGAGUUUUUUUAAAUAACAAAAUGUCAUGAAUCAGCAGCUGGACAUCGGCAGUGAUGAGAUUUGGCUCAACUUAAGUUAAAAAUACUUCAUGCCAUGUAAUAUACAGAGCGUUUCAUUAGUUCCAAUACAAUGUAGUAGUUUAAAGUCUAUAACUUUUGAGGGAUGCCUGCUGUACCACUCCAGUGCUAACAGUCAAACUCCUGGAUUGGUACUAGUAUGAUACUGCAAUAGUUGCUUCCUUACCUGAUUCUUCACCCCUCCUCAAAAUGUCAUGGGAAUCUGUAGUAGUGUUUGCGUAAUCCAGUCCACAAAUUUGGUAAUGCUUAAAACGUGUCACAUGUAGGUAGGACUGGGUAUGUUAAAUCACAUGAACUACAUACGUUCUCCUCCGAAAGUAUUUUAACAAUCCUGGUAUGACAUCAAAAUAUUAAUAUGACGUAAGAGAUCAACAUUUAAGCUUUUAUUUCCAGGUAUUUACAUCUGCAUCUGAUACACAGUUUAGAAGAAGGCACCUUUUGUUCCAACACACCCAUUUUUGUAUGUCAGCAAAAGUAUUGGAACAUGUGACUGACUGUGUUUUGUAACCCAGGUAUGUCCUAUGACAGUGAUGAGUAAAACAACACAUCAUGAAUAUUUCAACUCCUUUUCAGAUUUGAGUUUUACUUGUGCAGACUAAGUUAACAGUUGCAACCAACAUACCGUAUUUUCACGACCAUAAGGCGCAUUUAAGUCUCAAAUUUUCUCCGAAAUGGAUGAGUUCCAAAAUCUGUGCAUGCACGCUAGCGUAAGUUUGAAGCUAGCGUAUGUUUUACCAUGCCUGCGCCCAAUAAUGCGGUGCGCCUUAUGUAUGUGUUAAAUACAGAAAUAGACCCCGCAACUGAGACUGCGCCUUUUAAUACGGUGCGCCUUAUGGUCGCGAAAAUAUGGUAAACGGAGAUUUGUCACGAUGGGGGGAAAACAAGCAAUUACACAAACAUCAGUCAUAGCAAGUUCAACCAUGUUGUGUCCUGAAGAAAGAAACCACUAGUAACAGACGUUGAACAGGUACCACAAUUUCUCGUGUAUAAUGCGCCCCCAUGUAUAAUACGCACCCCCAAAGUUUGACCUCAAAAUUCAGGAAAACCCUUCUACCCAUGUACAAUGGAUUUUUACAAUGCAUGAUUUUGCUUCUUCCCUGAAUUAAGCACUUUAUUUGAACACAAUACUUUUUUUUUAACUUGAUCUUAUUUUGAAAUUCACAGCCCUACUUUUAUUUCAUAAAUUAGAAAACACACAGUUGUGCUCAUAUGUUUGAUUACCCAGGCAGAAUUUGUAAGAUGGGUACAAUUCUUGAAAGAAAACAUGAAGGACCAGGCGAAACACUUUUUAUUUUAAUGGGAUUCAAAUUAAACAGUCAAGCAUUUCAGAAAAGCAUUAUCAUUUACAGAAAACAUAACCAUGAAGAAAUGAAUGAUGGUUUUUGUUCAGUCAUAUUAAAAAAAAAAUAUAUAUAUAUAUAUAUUUCACAAAUUCUGCCAGGGUAUGUAAACUUAUAGGCACAACUGUACAUAUAUGCAGUCCUAUGUACCCCGUGUCAUAUAGGAAUGAAAGUGGAGGCCACACCAUUUUUUUUCUCCGAGUUACUCACGGGAGCAGCGAUGCAGUCUUUGGCGCAUGGAGGCUGAGGCGGCGCAGCAUAGGGAAGCAAGCCGGCAUCCAGGUGAAAUCCGCAAGAGAGGAUACAGAUUGGCGUUUCAGUCGAUCCACCUCGCAAAUCUACGCUCCCUACCCAACAAAAUGGAUGAGCUUCAUCUUCUGAUAAAGACCAGUAAAGACUUCGGACGUUCCGCCGCCAUGUGCUUUACGGAGACUUGGCUUUGUGAGGCUGUACCCGAUGGCGCCGUCAUGCUUCCCAGCUUCCAUCUUCACCGGGCAGACCGCGACAUGGAAUCAUCGGGGAAAACAAAAGGCGGCGGGAUAUGCUUCUAUAUCAAGGAAAAAUGGUGCACGGACGUCACGGAGCUCAGCACGCACUGCAGCCCGCAUUUAGAGUCGCUGGUUUUUGAACUGGAAGCCAUUCUACUCUCCUCAUUUGAAAAGGACACUUUCAGACGCCGCACCCACCCAGCCGCACCACCGACCACAAUCACACCUCUGACUGCUGCGUUAACCAUCCAUGAACAGGAUGUGAGACGCAUCUUCAAACAACAAAAGAUUAACAAAGUGGCAGGCCCAGACUAUGUGUCCCCAUCCUGCCUCAAAGAAGCUGUUGGAAUGUCUGCUAGUUCUAGUUUGCAUGGAUCGGUAGCGCCUACCUGAGGGAAGGAGCUGGAGGAGCUGGUGACCGGGAUGCGGCGGGUCAGAGAGAAUUUUAAGUCUUAGAUAAUGGACAUACUGUAAAUAUUUUCAUUAGAUGCUUUGAAAAGGAGGCGGCACGGUGGGCGACUGGUUAGAGCGUCAGCCUCACAGUUCUGUGGACCUGGGUUCAAUCCCCGGCCCCGCCUGUGUGGAGUUUGCAUGUUCUGCGUGGGUUUUCUCCGGGCACGCCGGUUUCCUCCCACAUCCCAAAAGCAUGCAUUAAUUGGAGACUCUAAAUUGCCCGUAGGUGUGACUGUGAGUGGAAAUGGUUGUUUGUUUGUAUGGCAACCAGUUGAGGAUGUACCCCGCCUUCUGCCCGAUGACAGCUGGGCUAGGCUCCAGCACGCCCGCGACCCCAGUGAGGAGAAGCGGCUCAAAAACGGAUGGACGGACGGACUUUGAAAAGGAGUACAGCACACAGGAUAAUAACAGCAUGGCAGCAAAACCAACUCUUUGAAUUAAGCUGCUUCUCCACAAUGAGGAAAUGAAGAGGAAAUUCUUUUGCAAUUCAUGGAACCAUGAAUUCUGCUCUUUCCCAGAAAUCCUGAAGGAGACUAUUCAGCCAUCAAUUCGUGACUUCAGACUGAAGUGCUCUUGGGUUCUGCAGCAGGACAAAGAUCCAAAACUCACCAGCAAGUCGGCUUGUCCCGAUCCGAUCUUUGAGAUUGGAUAUCGGUCCGAUGUCAGCAAAAACAUUUGUCGGAUCGGACUGGACCUAAAAUGUCUGAUUUUACCACUCUUAUACAAGCAGUCCAUUCAAUGCUCCAGCAGCGCAGGGACGGCAUGCAGAUCCCAGGUUAUCACAACAACAGGUUGCUAAGGUGCUAACAUAUUAGCAAGGAGUCAGAGUGAAUGUUGUUUGCUUAAAGUCGUUUAUUGACACUCCAUUUCAAGUUCACUGUAAAACUAGACACACAUAACAAAACAAUUACACCUAUUGAAUGUUCAAAUACAUCACAGACUUUGCCCUUCGUUUUGGUUCCCAAAAAUUGCUAGCUCAAAGCUAACAGACAAUGAAUGAAAAACACCAUUGACGAGCUAACGAAAAUUAGCAUCAACUUCACGGCACUUAUAUCUCUCAAAAUAAUGAAUAUUGGUAAAUAAAUGCUGUACAAACACAUACAAAAAGGCAAUCUAACAAUACUCUGGCAUAUAUUCCAAAUCUGUGAAAAACUAGUUCUAUUACCAAUAUUCGAUCGUGACUUCGACGUUCUUUGUUGCUGCAUGUAUCUCAUUGGAUGCACCACAUUGCCCCUCAGAGGUCAAGACGUGCACAGCAGGAACAGCCAAUAAAACUAUACCCCAGAUGCAUUGCCGCAUAUGUGUAGAAACCAAAUACUGACAGUAAAAGAAUAACUGAAUUUAUUUUGAAUGAUUUUCCCCGUUAAAAGUAUCAUUUUAAUUUCUUAUUUCUUAUUAUUGGUUUGUGUUUAAUCUAUUCAAAUGUAGAAUAUGCUUGCGUUUAAGUUGAGCAGUGCUUAUGUUGCAAUUGAAUAAAUUUUUGUUAUUAUUACUUUUACUGAAGAUAUUUUUCCGGAUUUUCUAAUAUCCAUCCAUUUUCCAUACCGCUUAUCUCCACUAGGGUAGCGGGUGUGUUGGCGCCUAUCCCAGCUGACUGGGCAAGAGGUGGGGUACACCCUGAACUGGACAUAUAAACAAACAAACAACCAUUCGCACUCAUAUUCACACCUACGCGCAAUUUAGAGUCUUCAAUUAACCGAGCAUGCAUGUUUUUGGAAUGUGGGAGGAAACCGGAGUACCCAGAGAAAACCCACGGAGGCACGGGGAGAACAUGAACCCGGGUCCUCAGACCUGUGAGGCAAAUGUGUUAUCUGCCUGAUUUUCUACUAUAGUUAUUUGUAUUCAAAUCUAUUACAUUCCUUUGUUUAAAGUUCUUUUAUGUAACCCGUUGUUUCAUAAAAAAAAAAACAAUAGGUCAGUUUUUCUCAUACCUACUGUUGAUAUCGUUCUCUGUUUGAGUCAUAUCACUUGAUCAAGCCAAUUCUAGCAUUCCAUACUACAAAAUAAGUAAGGUAUGUGUGAUUAUUGCCGAUAGUGGAUCAGACCGAUAUCAGCCAAAGCUCAAGGCUGCAAUAUUGGUAUCGCAUCAGAAGUGCAAAAGUUGGAUUGGGACAUCCCUAUCAGCAAGUCAACUUGUGAAUGCGGUUUUGGAGUGGCCUAGUCAAAGUCCAGACUUGAACCCCAUUGAAAUUCAGUUAUAUGACCCUAAAAAGGGCAUUCAUGCUCGAAAACCCUCCAUUGUUGCUAAACUAAAAUCAUUUUGCAAGCAACAGUGGGCCCAAAUCUCUUCACAGAGAUAUAAAAGACUCAUUGCCAGUUCUAGAAAACGCUUGAUUUCAGGGAGGCCCAACCAGUUAUUAGGUUUAGGGGGCUCCCAUUCUCAUUUCGAGUUCCUCACAUUCUGAGUCCAUACAUAUCUAUAUCAUUGUAUUUGUGCUUUGAUGCAGUUUUAGAGCAUCUUGUUUAGUUUUUAGCAAGCAUUUAGCUGCACAUUACAACCCCCCCAUGUUUUCUUUUUUUGACGACUGGGCUUCGUCUAAAAUCAGUGUGUUGAAAAUAGAUGCACAAACAUGUAAUACCCUUUUUUCAUGCUGUCAUACUUAGCCAAACAACCUUAAGCUGUGUGUUGAGGAAACUUCGGAAACUUGAUUUCCUGCAUGCGUUGUUGACGGCACGUUACACAGUUUGACUGACUGAAGUUUGGUGGUACAACGCAACCAUUCACCAUGCUGCCAUCGUUGAAAGAAUGUAUUGUUGAAAUGUAUGGACUACAUUAUUUUAGCUGUCAAUUGAAUAUUUGAUUAUAAGAAGAGCAUUUUUAAAAACACAACCCACACAUGGACAUAUUUAGAGUGAGACAAACUUGAAUGCCAAUAUUUGUUAGCUUAAAAGCUAACAAGGAAAGAGCUGUUGCAAAGAGUUAACAAUAGUUCUGUUUGGUUUGUAUGGACAGCAACCACCUUGUUCAUCUACGGUGUUUUCACAUUUAUAGUUCACAUUUUCCUGUGCAGCAAACUCACAGCUUUGUGUCAAAAAUGGGGCAUAGCUGGCAUUCAUUGAUAAACAAUUAUCUAGGCAUUCUACCAGAUUACACAAAUACACAAAUAGCCAGGUGCACUUUCAAAUCAGGACUCAAGUAAAUGUUCUUUAUUUUUACAAAAAGAAUUGCUGCUGAAGAGUUGUUCAGGGUAAAAGAGAGGUGGCAUAAUGAACUAAGGUUUCUAUUCUUUAUCUUUUGUCAUCAAUUACUAGAAUACAGGAAGUCCUCGGUUUACGAACGAGUUCCGUUCCUACGCUGGCGACGUAACACGAUUUUCCGCGUGAGUCGGAUUUCACGUUAAAGUGGAAAUUGACGGCGAAAUACUUCUGUUCUGGGUAUUGUCCCACGUGAUCGUGACAGCGAGCUCAGCGUGCGUGGGCGUGUGUGUCGAUGCGUGAGUGAGACGGGACUGCGCAGGCGUCGUCCGGCGAGACUGCGAAGGAGGAAGGAGUGCGCGCCGGUGCGAGUGUGUACUGUAGCAAGUGUAGUGACGGCGACCGGGGAAGAGUAGCGAUUAGCGGAGGACCCGUUGACGUUGAAUAAAGCCAUUCAAGCAGCGAGCAACAAACACCGAGAGAGAAGAAGAAUGGCAAGCUACUACCACGUACUGGGGUACGUGCUAAGAUCAGAAAAUGUGCCUUUUUGUUAUUGCUUGCUAUGAAUAAUACCUUUAUUUGGGUCAAGAAAAUCAAAGCGGUCUUCAUUUUCCAUGAGCUGCCUUAAUCAGGGCUAUCCGAUUGUUGUCUACAUAAACAGCCGUUGAACCUUUA